GACGAACGCUGGCGGCGCGCCUAACACAUGCAAGUCGAACGAGCGAGAGAGAGCUUGCUUUCUCAAGCGAGUGGCGAACGGGUGAGUAACGCGUGAGGAACCUGCCUCAAAGAGGGGGACAACAGUUGGAAACGACUGCUAAUACCGCAUAAGCCCACAGGUCGGCAUCGACCAGAGGGAAAAGGAGCAAUCCGCUUUGAGAUGGCCUCGCGUCCGAUUAGCUAGUUGGUGAGGUAACGGCCCACCAAGGCAACGAUCGGUAGCCGGACGGAGAGGUUGAACGGGCACAUUGGGAGUGAGACACGGCCCAGACUCCUACGGGAGGCAGCAGUGGGGAAUAUUGCACAAUGGGGGAAACCCUGAGGCAGCGACGCCGCGUGGAGGAAGAAGGUCUUCGGAUUGGAAACUCCUGUUGUUGAGGAAGAUAGUGACGGUACUCAACAAGGAAGUGACGGCUAACUACGUG
rnacentral:rRNA from 1 species